rnacentral:lncRNA from 1 species
GCGUGGUGGAGAUGGCAGCAUAAGUAUGCGCAACCCAAGAAAGUUGGUAUUGCUCCAUUCUUCCAACUCUUAGUUGGAUCAAUGACUUUCUUCUAUGUUAUUAACUACGGCAAGAUA